CAAUAGCGUAUAUUAAAGUUGUUGCAGUUAAAAAGCUCGUAGUUGGACUUCGGGGUGGCGCGGCCGGUCCGCCGCGAGGUGUGUCACUGGCCGGGCCGCCCUUCCUCGCAAAGACUGCGUGUGCUCUUGACUGAGUGUGCGCAGGAGUUGCGACGUUUACUUUGAAAAAAUUAGAGUGUUCAAAGCAGGCCAGCGCUUGAAUACAUAAGCAUGGAAUAAUGGAAUAGGACUUGGGUUCUAUUUUGUUGGUUUCUGGAACCGAAGUAAUGAUUAAGAGGGACAGUUGGGGGCAUUCGUAUUUCGUUGUCAGAGGUGAAAUUCUUGGAUUUACGAAAGACGAACUACUGCGAAAGCAUUUGCCAAGAAUGUUUUCAUUAA
rnacentral:rRNA from 1 species